GUCCCGCGCAGCGCGAUGGCGGCGGAGGAGCCCGGGGAGGGCCCGGGUGGGACCGGAGAGCGCUGGAGGGGGACGGGGACGGCGCUCGGAAGACCCCGAUGACAAACGGCUCCAACCUCGGGGCUCCUGGGGUCCCUCACCUUCUCGGGGGGGACCCCAACCCCUCCUACUGGUACCAGCACAGCUACGGCACCUGUGGCUACCAGAGCCCCUGGGGCUACGGCCACAGCUGAGGGGGGGCUGCACCCCC